CCAACACUACCGAUAACGAUAACAAAAAGUGACACAAAAGCAAAGGGAAAAUUUCUUUCGGUCGUGUGCUGUGUGUUCAAAUUCCAAAUACCCAGCCAUCCCGUGUUAGCCGUGCGAAGGCCCCCGCGUUGGUGAUUAUAUUGUAUAAUAAUAUAACUACUGCCCAACCAAUCGAGCGGAAAUCGCGGCGACUGCUCUCAAGGUGGCCCCGUAGCUAAUAAGUGUUCGCGAAUGAGAGCAAAGCAGAUGGCGGAGAGCGUCCCGCGCUUCAGUGUGUGUGUGCGUGAACGAGUAGAAAGCGGCGGUAAAAACCUUUGCGUGUAACCCACAAAAAAAAACACCCGAUUCCAAUAUCAAAAACAUAAUAUAUUGCCCAUUGAAAAAUAGGCAACGAUAUUGCGCGGGGAAAUUGGAAAAUCCAUUGGAAAUCGAGAGCAACAGUCGCCGAGGAGCGGAAUCUGCGGACGAAAACAAAAACGCUUCGAAAACGCAGUCGCCGAUACAGAAAGUGCCAGCGUGUGCGUGUGCAUAUGUGUACGUAGUAGUGGCCAAAGAGAACGGUGAAGAAAAAAAAACCUAACUGUGCAGUGGAAAACGCGCGGCUGAUAAAGAUUGUGAUAAUCACAUAGAAUACAAUAAAGAGAAAAGAAACCGCAAGACCAAAUUGGUUGAAUAAUAUUUAAGCCAACGCCAGUGCUGCAAAAAUCGGGCCGCAUUAUCAUUCAGUGUUGCACAUCGCUGCCGCCCCACGCAUAAUCCAACACUUCCCCCCCGCCCACACCCACACUCGCACUCGGAUUUGGAUUCCUACGUCUGCAUUGUAAUAUUGCGCUUAUUUUCACUCGCGAGCUUAACAAUGCGACACGAUCACCAAUUGAACAUUUUUGUUUUUUUUGUUAAUUGUUAAAUUUUCCUUUGACUACGU